CUCUCUGUCCCUCUCUCUCCUUGUACCUAGAACUCAUUUAUUUCCUUGGAAGUUUUUCAAGUUUUACACACUUUUCGUUCUUACAUUUCCAAAUGGCGAACGACGCAAGUCCGAGUCACCGCGUUGCACUUUCCAUUCCCGCCCGGGAAGCUAUCGAUGAAAUUACGAGGGAAAUGGUGGUCGAAACUUAUCACAACUUGGUAGAAGCUUAUAACAGUGUGGCAAGAUAUUAUUACAACCAUUAUCACAAAGUCCCUCGAAAUACAUCAAUACUUUCGGGAGGUUUAUGGAUGUUUGAGUUGUUUAACGGCCACCACGGCCGAUUUGAAGAUAAUGUCAGUAUGUCACAACCAGUGUUCUUGUUGUUAUGCGAUGCGCUUCACGAUUUUGGAUUGACAUUGCCGCAGCGGGAGCAUGGCGUUCCGCUAGAAGAGAAGGUAGCAAUUUUUAUUUGUGCCUUGCAGGGUCUAUCUUGGAAACAUUUGCAAGAACGGUUCCAACACUCAAAGGAAACAUUGUCUCGCAAUUUUCAUGAGGUAAUACAAGUUAUGAUACCGUUUACAUCGGUUCAUAGUAGGAGUCUUACGCCCGAACAAGUACAACAAGGGGGUCAUCCACAUUUACGGUCGCAGCAGCAGUACUGGCCAUUCAAGGUGACAAUUUCCAUAAAUGUGAAAACUUUUUUAAAGCUUAGAAAAAAACAAUGAUUAAGUUAUGUUAAUUUGUGAAAAAUUAGUGCGUUGCGUAGGACUGCAUCGGUGCAUUGGACGGGACGCACGUGAUGGCUCGUGUCUCGCAGGAGUACGCCACAUCAUACUAUGGCCGGAAAGGCGUGCCGACAAAGAAUAUAAUUGCCGUAUGCGACUUUAAUUUGUGCUUCACCUUUGUCUCUGCCGGUUGGGACGGGAGCAUGCACGACAGCCGGGUUUCGCACUACGUGACUACUGAAGAGAAACAUCGCUUCCUGCACCAGGAAAAUACUAUUUGGUGGAUAGCGGUUACAGCAACAAGACAGGGUACCUAGCCCCCUACAAGGGGUAUAGGUAUCACCAAAAUGCCCAUCGAAAUCGAACACCGUAGAAUCAGUUCAAAUUGUUCAACAAGGCACAUUCGUCACUGCGUAGUUGUAUUGAGCGGACAUUUGGUGCCUGGAAGUCUAGGUGGGGGGCAUUGCGGAAUAUGCAGAAGUUAAGUUUUUCUAAUCAAGUUACGUUUGUAUGUGCGUCGAUGGUGUUACAUAACUUCAUACGCCGACAUAGCGAACUUGAUGAGGUCACGAUGACUAUCCUAGACAGUGACGAAUACGUCGCCCCUCAAAUGCCCGACCACGACGAAUACACACAGGUUGCUGAUGUGAUGGAGGAAGGGGACUCGAACCUUGCAAUGGCUGUUGUAAGAGCGAACAUUACGAACGCACUCGUACGGCAAGCGCAUCGGUAGGGGCGAAUUGGAAAUACAGGAAUAUUGGUUGAAGGUUGUUAAUAUCUGUAACUGAGAUUCAUAUUUGUAAACACGUUUGGUUUUAAUAGUUUCAUGUCUUUCGGAGUGUAGACAUUUUCUUUAAAGUGUAUUUUUAAAGGAAGUAUGUAAUACCCCUGUUCCGUAA